AUGGGGUGACUGCGUACCUUUUGUAUAAUGGGUCAGCGACUUAUAUUCUGUAGCAAGGUUAACCGUAUAGGGGAGCCGUAGGGAAACCGAGUCUUAACUGGGCGAAUGAGUUGCAGGGUAUAGACCCGAAACCCGGUGAUCUAUCCAUGGGCAGGUUGAAGGUUGGGUAACACUAACUGGAGGACCGAACCGACUAAUGUUGAAAAAUUAGCGGAUGACUUGUGGAUGGGGGUGAAAGGCCAAUCAAACCGGGAGAUAGCUGGUUCUCCCCGAAAGCUAUUUAGGUAGCGCCUCGUGAACUCAUCUUCGGGGGUAGAGCACUGUUUCGACUAGGGGGUCAUCCCGACUUACCAACUCGAUGCAAACUGCGAAUACCGAAGAAUGUUAUCACGGGAGACACACGGCGGGUGCUAACGUCCGUCGUGAAGAGGGAAACAACCCAGACCGCCAGCUAAGGUCCCAAAGUCAUGGUUAAGUGGGAAACGAAGUGGGAAGGCUCAGACAGCCAGGAUGUUGGCUUAGAAGCAGCCAUCAUUUAAAGAAAGCGUAAUAGCUCACUGGUCGAGUCGGCCCGCGCGGAAGAUGUAACGGGGCUAAACCAUGCACCGAAGCUGCGGCAGCAAUACUAUGUAUUGUUGGGUAGGGGAGCGUUCUGUAAGCCUGCGAAGGUGUACUGUGAGGUAUGCUGGAGGUAUCAGAAGUGCGAAUGCUGACAUAAGUAACGAUAAUGCGGGUGAAAAACCCGCACGCCGGAAGACCAAGGGUUCCUGUCCAACGUUAAUCGGGGCAGGGUGAGUCGACCCCUAAGGCGAGGCUGAAAAGCGUAGUCGAUGGGAAACGGGUUAAUAUUCCCGUACUGGUGGUAACUGCGAUGGGGGAACGGAGAAGGCUAGGUUGUCCGGGCGACGGUCGUCCCGGUUCAAGCAUGUAGGCAGAGUGAUUAGGCAAAUCCGGUCACUUAAUGCUGAGGUGUGAUGACGAGCCACUAAGGUGGUGAAGCAAUUGAUGCCCUGCUUCCAGGAAAAGCCUCUAAGCUUCAGGUUACCAACAAUCGUACCCCAAACCGACACAGGUGGUCAGGUAGAGAAUACUCAGGCGCUUGAGAGAAC
rnacentral:rRNA from 1 species